rnacentral:rRNA from 1 species
AAAAACUGAGGUGGUAUACGAUGGUUCCGCGUCUGAUUAGCUAGUUGGUGGGGUAAAAGCCUACCAAGGCAACGAUCAGUAGCCGGCCUGAGAGGGUGAACGGCCACAUUGGGACUGAGACACGGCCCAAACUCCUACGGGAGGCAGCAGUGGGGAAUAUUGCACAAUGGGGGAAACCCUGAUGCAGCGACGCCGCGUGAGUGAAGAAGUAUUUCGGUAUGUAAAGCUCUAUCAGCAGGGAAGAAAUACUGACCAUAGGGUCAGCAGACGGUACUCGACUAAGAAGCCCCGGCUAACUACGUGCCAGCAGCCGCGGUAAUACGUAGGGGGCAAGCGUUAUCCGGAUUUACUGGGUGUAAAGGGAGCGUAGACGGCAGCGCAAGUCUGAAGUGAAAUGCCAGGGCUUAACCCUGGAACUGCUUUGGAAACUGUGCAGCUAGAGUGCAGGAGAGGUAAGUGGAAUUUCUAGUGUAGCGGUGAAAUGCGUAGAUAUUAGGAGGAACACCAGUGGCGAAGGCGGCUUACUGGACUGUAACUGACGUUGAGGCUCGAAAGCGUGGGGAGCAAACAGGAUUAGAUACCCUGGUAGUCCACGCUGUAAACGAUGAUUACUAGGUGUUGGGGGACCAAGGUUCUUCG